UUUAGGGUACAUACGAAGAAUGCUGUACAGGAAUGACUAUUCUAGUGCUGCUUUGUAGGCGACCUAUUUUGUGUUUCCUUCAGGCGCAUACGUAAAUAAUUUGUCUGGAGUGCAAAUACUAUAACAAGCAAAGUAGAACUGUCCAUGCGAAUAGUUCGAUAUGCUAAAGUCCAAUCCGACAAUUUUCAGUGACUGAAUAACAUCAUUAGAAUUAGCAUAUUACCACUAUCUUGUCAGGCACCCAGUUUCAUUUGAGAUGUAAGGUGAAGUAAUCCCUAGUAAAACGUCAUACUAGACGCGUCAGCCUCAUCCACGAAAACAAUAUAUUCCUUUCAACGGACAAUACUACAUAGAAAAAUCGAGACAUAGCUAUGGAGAAGCGAUUAUAGUGUUCUAACCUUCUGGAAGAUGUCAAAAGGAAGACAAACACUGAGUUAUAAUGAUUCCAAUGAACCUUCACACAAAAUGUAAGCUGGUUGAGAACUAACACAAUCACAAAGGAAACCAGUACUUUGGAUGCGACCAUGGUGGAGUACCGUUUUCAGUCGAAAUAAUCGACUCCAUCACUUAUUUCUCGUAAGUCUGGUACUUAUUUUAUCGACCAUACUCCCGAACACCUAAGUUACGAGCACGUUAACACACCCACAUCUGCUCUGAUGCAACACAGAAACACAGAUAUGCAGAGAAACACACACACAGAUAUGCAGAGAAACACACACACAUAUAUAUG